UAAUUGUGGAGAACUAAGGCUUGCGGCUCGCUUUCCCUCAAGCUUCGUCGACGUCUUCCAAAUCUGGGCAUCGACUAUCUGAUCUGUCGAGUCUCAUUUGCUUUGGGCAUCAACUUUCUGAUCUGGCGAGUCUCAUGAGCCCAUCUCUCGCGACUUCAGCGGCGUCUUGCAGACUCACUCUACGCCAACCUCGGCCUUCCCAAUCUCGACAGUACGUUUCCAAAGUCGUUUCCUACACCAACCCUUCUCUAUCUCUUGUGAUUUUGUUAUUUUUGGAUGAU
rnacentral:misc_RNA from 1 species